rnacentral:rRNA from 1 species
GCGGCGUGCUUAACACAUGCAAGUCGAACGGAAAGGCCCUGCUUUUGUGGGGUGCUCGAGUGGCGAACGGGUGAGUAACACGUGAGUAACCUGCCCUUGACUUUGGGAUAACUUCAGGAAACUGGGGCUAAUACCGGAUAGGAGCUCCUGCUGCAUGGUGGGGGUUGGAAAGUUUCGGCGGUUGGGGAUGGACUCGCGGCUUAUCAGCUUGUUGGUGGGGUAGUGGCUUACCAAGGCUUUGACGGGUAGCCGGCCUGAGAGGGUGACGGGCCACAUUGGGACUGAGAUACGGCCCAGACUCCUACGGGAGGCAGCAGUGGGGAAUAUUGCACAAUGGGCGGAAGCCUGAUGCAGCAACGCCGCGUGCGGGAUGACGGCCUUCGGGUUGUAAACCGCUUUCGCCUGUGACGAAGCGUGAGUGACGGUAAUGGGUAAAGAAGCACCGGCUAACUACGUGCCAGCAGCCGCGGUGAUACGUAGGGUGCGAGCGUUGUCCGGAUUUAUUGGGCGUAAAGGGCUCGUAGGUGGUUGAUCGCGUCGGAAGUGUAAUCUUGGGGCUUAACCCUGAGCGUGCUUUCGAUACGGGUUGACUUGAGGAAGGUAGGGGAGAAUGGAAUUCCUGGUGGAGCGGUGGAAUGCGCAGAUAUCAGGAGGAACACCAGUGGCGAAGGCGGUUCUCUGGGCCUUUCCUGACGCUGAGGAGCGAAAGCGUGGGGAGCGAACAGGCUUAGAUACCCUGGUAGUCCACGCUGUAAACGGUGGGUACUAGGUGUGGGGUCCAUUCCACGGGUUCCGUGCCGUAGCUAACGCUUUAAGUACCCCGCCUGGGGAGUACGGCCGCAAGGCUAAAACUCAAAGGAAUUGACGGGGCCCCGCACAAGCGGCGGAGCAUGCGGAUUAAUUCGAUGCAACGCGUAGAACCUUACCUGGGUUUGACAUGGAUCGGGAGUGCUCAGAGAUGGGUGUGCCUCUUUUGGGGUCGGUUCACAGGUGGUGCAUGCCUGUCGUCAGCUCGUGUCGUGAGAUGUUGGGUUAAGUCCCGCAACGAGCGCAACCCUUGUUCACUGUUGCCAGCACGUUAUGGUGGGGACUCAGUGGAGACCGCCGGGGUCAACUCGGAGGAAGGUGGGGAUGACGUCAAGUCCUCAUGCCCCUUAUGUCCAGGGCUUCACGCAUGCUACAAUGGCUGGUACAGAGAGUGGCGAGCCUGUGAGGGUGAGCGAAUCUCGGAAAGCCGGUCUCAGUUCGGAUUGGGGUCUGCAACUCGACCUCAUGAAGUCGGAGUCGCUAGUAAUCGCAGAUCAGCAACGCUGCGGUGAAUACGUUCCCGGGGCUUGUACACACCGCCCGUCAAGUCAUGAAAGUUGGUAACACCCGAAGCCGGUGGCCUAACCGUUGUGGGGGAGCCGUCGAAGGUGGGACUGGUGAUUAGGACUAAGUCAUAAC